rnacentral:snRNA from 1 species
UGCUCCCUUUGGCAGCACUUACAUACAAUUAGAAAGAUAGAAGAUUAGCAUGGCCCCCGUGCAAGGACACACAAAUUUAUGAAGCAUUUUAUAUUUUU